UACGUAGGGGGCUAGCGUUAUCCGGAAUUACUGGGCGUAAAGGGUGCGUAGGCGGUCUUUCAAGUCAGACGUGAAAGGCUACGGCUCAACCGUAGUAAGCUUUUGAAACUGUAAGACUUGAGUGCAGGAGAGGAGAGUAGAAUUCCUAGUGUAGCGGUGAAAUGCGUAGAUAUUAGGAGGAAUACCAGUUGCGAAGGCGGCUCUCUGGACUGUAACUGACGCUGAGGCACGAAAGCGUGGGGAGCAAACAGG
rnacentral:rRNA from 1 species